UGAGCAGUGUGUAGGGAAGAUAUCCGAGUGAAUGGAAAGGAAAAAUAAAAGAGAAAUUCCACUCUCACCUUACAGAUACAGGACAUGAUUGUAAUUGGGAGGAGAGGCAGCAAGCGCUGCGAGCGGAGCAUGAAGCGCUCAUUGUUCAUGGGGCACUUGGUCUCCUGGCAGACUUUAAAGACGGGAUGGAAUCUUUAUUUCAAAUGGAUUCUGAGGUGGGCUUUCCGUUCUCUAUGGUAGUACUGCAUCUAUUGCCACUAUGAGCCGAGGAAGCAUCUUCAGAUCAGGAUGAAAGAUGACAAAAAAGUGACUUGAGAAAGGAGGAGGGGUUCAAAGCUGCACAUGUUCACCCUUGUGCUUUGAAAUGUGUACAAUCAUAUUGCCCUCCGGAAAUGCGGAGUAUCUAAUAGAAUAUCCAAGGUACAUGUGGAAGAAAAUUCUAGUUCCAAUAUAUAAAAAUCCAACAGGCAUCAGAAUUUUGAAUUACUUGACCUCAACUAUUUGCGAGUUUUUUUUUUUCCUUCAUCAGGAUUUUGGUAACAAUAUAUAUUUGUAGCUCAGUUAGUGAAAGGAAAGUCAUGCUAACAUUCUUCAUUGAAUAGACAGUCACCUAGAAUAUGGUCUGUCAGCAAGCUAUCAGUGGAGAGAAGUGCUUCUCUUUUUGUGGAAUUUGACAGUACUACUUCUCUUUGAUCAGUCUUAGAACCAAAUAUGGGCAAAAUUCUGUAAGUUUGAACACCAAUUAGGACACUUCAUUUUCUAGUAUCAACUAAAUGAUCCGGUGAUAUUAACUAUCAGAACUGGUAUUUUGUCCACAUUACAAUA